CAGCAGCAUACAACAUUCUACGCCAGUAGUUUUCCUAGAAGUAGUUACCUAUUCAUAUAAUCACAUCGAUAAUAUAUCUAUUUAAGGGUGUUCAACAUGAACAAUUGUUUAAAUAAUUGAUGAACUUUAAAUUUCAAUCAUCAAAGGCAAUGAUGUAUGCGUCUCGAAAAUGAUUAUAAUUAAAUGUAUUUUGUUAUAAUACUAUAAUAUGACAUGUCUGAUAUCUUGAAAUUUACUAACGCUGGACAAUAGGUAUAAAUGUUUAGUAAGUUAAUAAAUGACAGAUACGUAUAUUAUAAUAUUAGGUAUGUACUCUAUUCAAAACUAUUGUGGUCGUCUGUUUGUGCAUGAGAUUAAUCCCACAUAGGAGAACGAGAAAUGGUGAAAUCUAAAGUUUAUCGUUAGAGAAUUUUACGGAGAUUCCAUUUAAAUGGUCGGUGUAGCGAAAUUUCCAGUUGUUAAAUAGAAAGCUUUCAAAAAGCAUAAAAAAAACCGAAAAACCAUGCAUAAUUUGCUUUAUCAAAUAAUCAUAGAUUUUAAAUUAUGAUAACGAAUUAUCAACAUGUGUAACCACGGUUCAGGUUGUAGAUAGUUACCACUUAAAAUGUCAGUAAACAAUAAUAUUGAGGGUAUGUUAAAUUCAAAUGUAAAUAAUAAUUAUUAUUCGUUAAUAUUUUGAUAUUUUUUAUUUAAUUUUUUACUUUUUAACUUUUAAGUAGGUUUUGUACAAUAUGUUCAUUGUUCACUAUCUUGUGCAGUAUACAAUUAAUUACAAAUUUAAACAGUUCAUCUCAAAUUUUGGUAAAAUGUAUCUACAAAUAUAAAAACCAUUGCAAAAACCAAGUUAAACUCAAUAUGCCAUUUACAAGUUACAACAAUCACAUUCAAACCUUCAUAACUCAAAUCAUUUAUCAAGUUACAGUAACUGGUGUAUGCAUGUACCCAAGCCAUUUAAGAGAUUAUUCUGUUUGGAAAAACUUCUUCUGAAAAAACUGUUUCUAACGAGUUAUGAACAAAAUGCGCAUCUAGCUUCAACUUCUAGGUUCACCCUUGAAAAAAUGUUAUUAAGUUAUACCUCAUGGAGUUGUAAAUACCGUUUCCGGAUAAAUGCCGGUGUAUAUAUAUUUACUUCAGCUAUUUCUUACACUUAAUGUACAAAAACUUACUAUUUUAUAAAACUAAAUUACAAAUUACAAAAUCUAAUAAAUAGAUAUUACAAAUAAAACAUUGAAAAAAACAA